rnacentral:tRNA from 1 species
UUUAAUAGAAGCCAAAAUAGAGGCUAUUCACUGUUAAUGAAUAAAUUGAUAUUAAUCCUAUUAAAA